CCUUUCCUUCUGGCUUAGGUUGGG
rnacentral:piRNA from 1 species